AGAUUGAACGCUGGCGGCAUGCUUUACACAUGCAAGUCGAACGGCAGCGCGGGGCAACCUGGCGGCGAGUGGCGAACGGGUGAGUAAUAUAUCGGAACGUACCCAAGAGUGGGGGAUAACGUAGCGAAAGUUACGCUAAUACCGCAUACGAUCUAAGGAUGAAAGCAGGGACCGCAAGGCCUUGUGCUCCUGGAGCGGCCGAUAUCUGAUUAGCUUAGUUGGUAGGGUAAAGGCCUACCGAAGGCUACGAUCAGUAGCUGGUCUGAGAGGACGACCAGCCACACUGGAACUGAGACACGGUCCAGACUCCGUACGGGAGGCAGCA
rnacentral:rRNA from 1 species